rnacentral:rRNA from 1 species
CUACGAAAGGUGCAAGCGUUGUUCGGAUUUACUGGGCGUAAAGAGAGUGUAGGUUGUUUAUUAAGUCGGAUGUGAAAUCCCGGGGCUCAACCUCGGAACUGCAUUCGAUACUGAUAGGCUAGAGUUUGGGAGGGGUAAGCGGAAUUCCGUGUGUAGCAGUGAAAUGCGUAGAUAUACGGAGGAACACCUGAGGCGAAGGCGGCUUACUGGACCAAUACUGACACUGAGACUCGAAAGCGUGGGUAGCAAACAGGAUUAGAAACCCCGGUAGUCC